GGGCUAUAGCCAAGCGGUAAGGCAACGGACUUUGACUCCGUCAUGCGUUGGUUCGAAUCCUUCAUGGCUCACCA
rnacentral:tRNA from 1 species